rnacentral:rRNA from 1 species
GACGAACGCUGGCGGCGUGCCUAAUACAUGCAAGUCGAGCGAACAGACGAGGAGCUUGCUCCUCUGACGUUAGCGGAGGAGGGGUGAGUAACACGUGGAUAACCUACCUAUAAGACUGGGAUAACUUCGGGAAACCGGAGCUAAUACCGGAGAAUAUAUUGAACCGCAUGGGUCAAUAGUGAAAGACGGUUUUGCUGGCACUUAUAGAUGGAUCCGCGCCGCAUUAGCUAGUUGGUAAGGUAACGGCUUACCAAGGCAACGAUGCGUAGCCGACCUGAGAGGGUGAUCGGCCACACUGGAACUGAGACACGGACCAGACUCCUACGGGAGGCAGCAGUAGGGAAUCUUCCGCAAUGGGGGAAAGCCUGACGGAGCAACGCGGCGUGAGUGAUGAAGGUGCUCGGAUCGUAAAGCUCUGUUAUUAGGGAAGAACAAAUGUGUAAGUAACUGUGCACGUCUUGACGGUACCUGGUCAGAAAGCCACGGCUAACUACGUG